AUAAGAAAAAUAAAACUGCUCCUCUGACUCCCACAGAUCACAGCACCUAUCCCACACAAAAACACACACUGUAUGCACUAUACUCACAUAUUGAUCGCUUACACACACUGUAUGCACUAUACACACAUACUGAUCGCUUACACACACUGUAUGCACUAUACUCACAUACUGAUCGCUUACACACACUGUAUGCACUAUACUCACAUAUCGAUCGCUUACACACACUGUAUGCACU